CUGGUUUACAUGAUGAGUAAAACAAAAAAUCACCAUCUUUCGGCUGAUAGCUGUGAUGAUUUGUUUUUAUCUGAGUAGAUACCAG
rnacentral:snoRNA from 1 species